rnacentral:rRNA from 1 species
AUUGAACGCUGGCGGCAGGCCUAACACAUGCAAGUCGAACGGUAACAGGAAACAGCUUGCUGUUUCGCUGACGAGUGGCGGACGGGUGAGUAAUGUCUGGGAAACUGCCUGAUGGAGGGGGAUAACUACUGGAAACGGUAGCUAAUACCGCAUAACGUCGCAAGACCAAAGAGGGGGACCUUCGGGCCUCUUGCCAUCGGAUGUGCCCAGAUGGGAUUAGCUAGUAGGUGGGGUAACGGCUCACCUAGGCGACGAUCCCUAGCUGGUCUGAGAGGAUGACCAGCCACACUGGAACUGAGACACGGUCCAGACUCCUACGGGAGGCAGCAGUGGGGAAUAUUGCACAAUGGGCGCAAGCCUGAUGCAGCCAUGCCGCGUGUAUGAAGAAGGCCUUCGGGUUGUAAAGUACUUUCAGCGGGGAGGAAGGGAGUAAAGUUAAUACCUUUACUCAUUGACGGUACCCGCAGAAGAAGCACCGGCUAACUCCG